GAUGAACGCUAGCUACAGGCUUAACACAUGCAAGUCGAGGGGAAACGACAUCGAAAGCUUGCUUUUGAUGGGCGUCGACCGGCGCACGGGUGAGUAACGCGUAUCCAACCUGCCCACCACUUGGGAAUAACCUUGCGAAAGUAAGACUAAUGCCCAAUGACAUUUAUAGAAGGCAUCUGAAAUGAAUUAAAGAUUUAUCGGUGAUGGAUGGGGAUGCGUCUGAUUAGCUUGUUGGCGGGGUAACGGCCCACCAAGGCGACGAUCAGUAGGGGUUCUGAGAGGAAGGUCCCCCACAUUGGAACUGAGACACGGUCCAAACUCCUACGGGAGGCAGCAGUGAGGAAUAUUGGUCAAUGGGCGAGAGCCUGACCAGCCAAGUAGCGUGCAGGAAGACGGCCCUAUGGGUUGUAAACUGCUUUUAUAGGGAAUAAAGUGAGCCACGUGUGGUUUUUUGUCAUGUACCCUAUGAUAAGGACCGGCUAAUUCCGUGCCA
rnacentral:rRNA from 1 species